AUCUCACUCUCUUGUACGCUUUUAUUUCUUUAUUCUUUUCUCCUUCCCCUGUGCUCCUUCUUUCCUCUUCUCUUUAGGACUAAGUGUCAGUGACAGAAUGUGAGUCUGAAAGAGAGAUAAGAUAGAGACUCGAUUCUACCAUGAUCCACGGCACCGAACCCGUAGCCAGCCGUGACUUGUGCUCACUUGAUCCUCCCUUAGCCGAUUUCCAGCAGCAAACCGUCCAGUCCACUGACCCACCAAACAGAAGAAACCAGACCCAGCAAUCCGGCAUGAACCCAGCUCUACCCAUUAACCCGUGAACCCCGAAACCCAUGCCGCACCAUUCCAGCAACCUGUAGCUCAGCAAACUCAGAAGAAACCCGUGACCCAGCCGAGCUCGACUCGUGGACGUGUGCCGGAGAUGAUGAAUUGAGACAGCACAAAAGGACUAUGUUUGCGCAGGUACUGAAGAUUAUGGAAUGGAUUAACUGCUAGCUUAAGAGAUUUAAAGCUGUGUAGUUAGGAUUUUAGUACUUUGUACUCAUAGAUGUUUGUACUAUUUGCUUGUAAUAUGUCUAGACAUUUACUUGUAAUUAAUAAGUUCCAUGCAUGCUUUAGUGUCACAUGUGACAUAUGUUUCUUUGUAAAUAGUGUAAAGACUUUUAACGUAUUUUCUAGAAGAUGUCAGUUAAAGCUCUGAAUGUAUCGUAAGGGAAUUGU